rnacentral:rRNA from 1 species
UUGAAAGGGAAACGAUUGAAGUCAGUCAUGCUUGCAGGGAAUCAACAAAGUGGUUUUCUUCCUUGUGCACUUCCUUGCUUGGCAGGUUAGCAUCAAUUUUGAUUGUCAUUAAAGAACUAGGGGAAUGUGGCUUCUUCGGGAGUGUUAUAGACCCUAGUAGAUGUGGCGAUUGGGAUUGAGGAUUGCAGCGAAUGCUUCUUGGCUAGUCACCUGGCUUCUGAUGGUCACCUUGCUUUCGAUAGCUUGCUAACGUUGGUGAGAUUUGAUUGUCUAGAUGUUAGUGUGAUCAUAAAUUCGCUAAGGAUGCUGACGUAAUGGCUUUAAACGACCCGUCUUGAAACACGGACCA